rnacentral:lncRNA from 12 species
AUGAUGCUGGCAUUAAAAUCCAGGAUGCUGACUCUGAGCUCAGUGCUCUCACCAAACCCCAUCACUGGCCAAGCCCUCGUUAUAAAGCCGUUCAUAGUGUCGCUGAGGAGGAUGACACCACCAUGUUUUAUGACUUGUUCCUUCAUCAGUCAGCAUUUCAGGCAUCCUCAUUUAUUCCUUUUUCAGUGUGGAACCAAAGUGAGCUAUAGUGGGCAGCAAAGCAAGAGCCUGGAUGUGACCACACCCACUGGACCUGGCAAAAAUCUGGGACCGGCGUUGAACCUUGAAAGUGGCUCAAGCCAACCUCAUUUAGGUUGCAGCAAAUAGUUAUAUACUGAUCUUAUUUUAUUUCCUAAAUUACAUCCUCCUGGAAGGCAAAGCUCACGUACCUUUUGUUCAUCUAAAAGAUCUUCUGAUGCGAUACUAGAAAUAAUGAUGCCAUCUGUGGAGCAAUUUUACUUCAUGAUAGAAAGAGGCAGGACCUCAAAAGUGAAAAGAUCCAGAUUUGAUUUCCAGAUUUUGUAUUUCCUAGCUAUGUUAACUUGAGGCAUUUCCUCCCAUGAAUCUGAUUUCCCAUCUGCAAAAUGGAAAAACACUAGCUCUAAUCCCUAGCUUGUUGUGAAAAUGAAAUUUAGUUGUCCCACUCUACAAAGAUUUAUGGAGUGCCUCCUAUGCGCAGAGGAAUUGCAGAGCUAAGAAACCAGAGCAUCACCUGGUCCCAGCCCUCGUCUCCAGCAGCUACAUGUGAGCAAGCACCACUGGCAGCCACACUGUGUCCCCUGGUUCUUAAUGGGAACCUGGAGGGUCUGUUUUUCCAUCUUAUUUGCAUAGAUGGCUCUAAUGAGACUGAAAUUGCGUGAAGUCGAAGCAUUAUGAGAAAAGGGUCAAUCUGGUGGCAGUUUUGUUCACAAUGCUUGUUUUCUGGAACGUGCAAAUGUGAUCCCUAAAGCAUGAAAGUCAGUGCCUCAUUUGCCCUGUGAAUCUAGAUAUUAUAUCUGUUUUCUCCUCUGGGGAAGUUGAUGUUGGGCUACCUCUGGCAUUACAGAGUCUAUCCAGCUUUGGAAAAAUCAUUUGUAUUUCAGGAGCUCUUGAGCAUCACCACAGUAAUCAAUGAUGCCCUGAGAUCUAAAUUCUUAUUGCAGUUCAAAUAUUAAUUGGGAAAAAAAUCACUACUUCAGGGAAAGAGAUUGAGUGUGUACUUGUGUGUGUGUGUGCACGUGUGUGUAUGUGGAUAUGAGAGCAGAAAUAUCUUAUUCUUUGUUCAUGGUGGUGGUCAUCCCUCUGACCCACCAUGGAAGCCUUAGUUGCCCUUUCAUAGUAGGGUUAAUUUGCAAAGAAUCCUAAUUCUCUCUCUUCCAGCGCCAAACGUGUCCAUGAGCUUUUCAGAGUUUGAGAGUCGAGUUUGAACAAAUGGGAGCGAGGGAGCAUUUGUCUGCAAAAAUUAUCUCUUUAUAUGAAGAAAAUAAAAUUCAUGGAGAGGUGGUUAUAAUGGGAAAG